UACGUAGGGUGCAAGCGUUAAUCGGAAUUACUGGGCGUAAAGCGUGCGCAGGCGGUUGGGCAAGACAGAUGUGAAAUCCCCGGGCUCAACCUGGGAAUGGCAUUUGUGACUGUCCGGCUAGAGUGUGUCAGAGGGGGGUAGAAUUCCACGUGUAGCAGUGAAAUGCGUAGAGAUCGGAAGGAACGCCCGUGGCGAAAGCGAGAUCCUGGACGUUUUCUGACGCUGAGACGCGAAAGCUAGGGGAGCAAACGGG
rnacentral:rRNA from 1 species